rnacentral:rRNA from 1 species
AUUGAACGCUGGCGGCAGGCUUAACACAUGCAAGUCGAGCGAGCGGCGGACGGGUGAGUAAUGUCUGGGAAACUGCCUGAUGGAGGGGGAUAACUACUGGAAACGGUAGCUAAUACCGCAUACCCUCAGAUGUGCCCCGAUGGGAUUAGCUAGUUGGUGGGGUAAUGGCGCACCUAGGCGACGAUCCCUAGCUGGUCUGAGAGGAUGACCAGCCACACUGGAACUGAGACACGGUCCAUACGCCUACGAGAGGCAGCAGGUGGGAAGAUUGCACAGUGGGCGCAAGCCUGAUGCAGCCAUGCCGCGUGUGGGAAGAAGGCCUUCGGGUUGUAAAGCACUUUCAGCGAGGAGGCGUUACUCGCAGAAGAAGCACCGGCUAACUCCGUGCCAGCAGCCGCGGUAAUAC